CGGCGGACGGGUGAGUAAUGCUUAGGAAUCUGCCUAGUAGUGGGGGAUAACUUGGGGAGACCCAAGCUAAUACCGCAUACGACCUACGGGUGAAAGGGGCUUUUAGCUCUCGCUAUUAGAUGAGCCUAAGUGGAUUAGCUGGUUGGUGGGGUAAAGGCCUACCAAGGCGACGAUCUGUAGCUGGUCUGAGAGGAUGAUCAGCCACACUGGGACUGAGACACGGCCCAG
rnacentral:rRNA from 1 species